UGUGUCCUUUAGGUCUUUAAAUAGUAGAUGGACUGCCAUAUAUGUAGUAAUGUAGCAACAUAAUAUAUUGGAAAUGUGUUAAUUACUUUGUUUCAUUUCAGGUCCAAAAACUUUCUGCCUUGGGCUAUAUGCCCAUAUUAUUUAUCAGCCAGAGGCACAAGGGCACAGGCAAGUAGAUGGCAGAUGUAGUCACGCAUCUGCCACCAACGCAAAACAACACGCGUUUCUUAACCAGCAUGAAGAGGGUAUAUGACUUCAUAAUCAAACUGGAUGAUGUGCCCCAGCCCCAGCCCCAGAAAGACCAGCCCCUGCCCCUAGACCAGCCUUAGCAAGACCAGCCCCUAUACCAGCCCCAGAAAGACCAGCCCCUCCCCCUAGACCAGCUAAUCCCACAAGACCAGCCUACCCCAACAGACCAGCAAAUUAUUACACUUGAACUAUUUACGAUCAACUCCCAGGCUCAGCAGCAUGUGGAGCCUCUACCACCCAGGAAAAGACAAACCCCACUAUCCACCCCGGGCCUACCAUCCACCCCAGGCCAAGGCAGACGAGCCCCACCAUCCAUCCAACCUCAGCUAAAGAAAAGACAAACCACAGGUAAAGGAGCCACACAAGCCCCACCCUCUACCCUGGCCAAAAAGAAGAAAACAAAAAGUUGCAAAUGCAGUCGACAGACAAUUUAUCCAUACGAUAAAAUAUUGGAAAGACGGAUGAAUGGGGGGAAGGCAGCAGAGGUCAAAGUGCACUGGCUACCUUGCUCUUCCUGUGGCAGAGUCUGGAAGGACACCUGGGAGCCAGCCAGCAAAUUCACCUGAUGACCAAUACUGUUGUACUAUUUGUUUUGUAUAUAUUUGUCAAUAAUUAAAUGGACU
ensembl:lncRNA